UACAGAGGGGGCUAGCGUUAUUCGGAAUUAUUGGGCGUAAAGGGCGCGUAGGCGGCCAUGCGUGUCUUCCGUGAAAUCCCUCGGCUUAACUGAGGACGUGCGGAAGAAACUGCAAGGCUCGAGUCCGGGAGAGGGGGGGUGGAAUUCCCAGUGUAGCGGUGAAAUGCGUAGAUAUUGGGAGGAACACCGGUGGCGAAGGCGGCCCCCUGGACCGGAACUGACGCUGAGGCGCGAAAAGCGGUGGGUAGCAAACGGG
rnacentral:rRNA from 1 species